UUGAGCUUCACUCUAGUCCCAUAACUUUGUGAAGAGGCAUGAAGGCGGGUGUAGUAAUAAGUGGGAGAGUUGGCCAUUGCCGUUGACAAUGGAGGACCACUCGAUUCCCUAUUUCUUUACUUAUUCAGUGAAGCGGGGUUGACACAAUAUGCAGAUGACGACUAUAUUGGUAUUGAAGCACAUGCCAAUGUCGGUGAUGUUGCAUUCGCGUAUUUUGCAUCGACGGCUUUGUUGACCUCGGUUGCGUCUGGUUAGCUCCAGUCGGUUGUUCGUCACUGCUUCAUUCAUGUAGUGGUGGUGGUGGGUGGCUCUGCGGCACUAUUAGCCACGAUUGCGACGUGCGACCUGAUGGUUUGAAGAGAUUGUCACAGGGGGAGUGUGACUAUGGCGGUACAUCUGUUAAAUCGUAAACCAGGGGUCCCAUCCCUAGGUGAGUUCAGCCAGGACAGAAACCUCCUGGGGUAGAGGAAUAAUUAACAAUUUCACUGAUUGAACAUCUCCACACGAAACCAUGUUGUUAUCAUUCACAAGAUGCGAGCAUACUUAUCA
rnacentral:ncRNA from 1 species